AGUGACGUGGAAACGAAGGGGGAAAAUUCCACAAAAAUGUGCAGAGCAUAGGAAAUAUGCUGGGAACUGUUAAGGGCUUGGCCAGGGCCUCUUGCCAGACAAGCAGGCAUGAGGCUCAAGCCAGAGACAAGAGGAGCUGACUGCUGGACUUGGGACCAGAAACUGAAAUCUCAGAAAUCCACUCUGCCCCCACCAGUGGACCCUAACACACCUAGCUGUGUACACAGAUCAGAUAUAAGCCUGCGGUGACUUCUCUGGCACCAUUCCUGCCUGCCUGCUGCCAUGCUUCCUGCCAUGAUAAUGGACUAAAUCUCUGAAACUGUGAGCAAGCCCCCAGUUAAAUGCUUUCUUUUAACCAGAUGUAGAACUCUCAGCUACCUCGCCAGCAUCAUGUCUGCCUGUGUGCCACCAUGUUUC
rnacentral:lncRNA from 1 species